rnacentral:rRNA from 1 species
UACGUAGGGACCAAGCGUUGUUCGGAUUUACUGGGCGUAAAGGGCGCGUAGGUGGCGCGGUAAGUCACUUGUGAAAUCUCUGAGCUUAACUCAGAACGGCCAAGUGAUACUGCAGUGCUAGAGUGUGGAAGGGGCAAUCGGAAUUCUUGGUGUAGCGGUGAAAUGCGUAGAUAUCAAGAGGAACACCUGAGGUGAAGACGGGUUGCUGGGCCAACACUGACGCUGAGGCGCGAAAGCCAGGGGAGCAAACGGG